GUAUUCAUACAAUGUGAUUACAUGAAAGUGUUUUUCAUUACUGCUCUAUAAGUCAUUCCUCUCGUUGUAAAUGACAAUGUUUUAUCCUAUCGAUAUAUCAAAGGCUUCUUGAAAAUUUUUUUAAAAGAAUGCAGUAUAUGAUUGGAACUUGCAAUAAGAUGUAUCCAUUAACCCUUAUAAACACCAGAAGGAUCAGCAUUCUGUACAAUCCAAG
rnacentral:misc_RNA from 1 species